CCUACGGGUGGCAGCAGUAGGGAAUCUUCGGCAAUGGGGGCAACCCUGACCGAGCAACGCCGCGUGAGUGAAGAAGGUUUUCGGAUCGUAAAGCUCUGUUGUAAGAGAAGAACGUGGGUGAGAGUGGAAAGUUCACACAGUGACGGGAACUUACCAGAAAGGGACGGCUAACGACGUGCCAGCAGCCGCGGUAAUACGUAGGUCCCGAGCGUUAUCCGGAUUUAUUGGGCGUAAAGCGAGCGCAGGCGGUUGGAUAAGUCUGAAGUUAAAGGCUGUGGCUCAACCAUAGUAUGCUUUGGAAACUUUUCAACUUGAGUGCAGAAGUGGAGAGUGGAAUUCCAUGUGUAGCGGUGUAAUGCGUAGAUAUAUGGAGGACCACCGGUGGCGAACGCGGCUCUCUGGUCUGUAACUGACACUGAGGCUCGAAAGUGUGGGUAUCAAACAGGAUUAGCUACCCCUGUAGUC
rnacentral:rRNA from 1 species